GACGAACGCUGGCGGCGUGCCUAAUACAUGCAAGUUGAGCGCUGAAGGUUGGUACUUGUACCGACUGGAUGAGCAGCGAACGGGUGAGUAACGCGUGGGGAAUCUGCCUUUGAGCGGGGGACAACAUUUGGAAACGAAUGCUAAUACCGCAUAAAAACUUUAAACACAAGUUUUAAGUUUGAAAGAUGCAAUUGCAUCACUCAAAGAUGAUCCCGCGUUGUAUUAGCUAGUUGGUGAGGUAAAGGCUCACCAAGGCGAUGAUACAUAGCCGACCUGAGAGGGUGAACGGCCAAAAUGGGACUGAGACACGGCCCAAACUCCUACGGGAGGCAGCAGUAGGGGAUCAUCGGAAAUGGACGAAAGUCUGACCGGGCAACGCCGCGUGAGUGAAGAAGGUUUUCGGAUCGUAAAACUCUGUUGGUAGAGAAGAAAGUUGGUGAGAGUGGAAAGCUCAUCAAGUGACGGUAACUACCCAGAAAGGAACGGCUAACUACGUG
rnacentral:rRNA from 1 species